rnacentral:rRNA from 1 species
AAUAGAUACCCCGGUAGUCCACGCCGUAAACGAUGAGUGCUAGGUGUUGGGGACUCCAAUCCUCAGUGCCGCAGCUAACGCAUUAAGCACUCCGCCUGGGGAGUACGGCCGCAAGGCUGAAACUCAAAGAAAUUGACGGGGACCCGCACAAGCGGUGGAGCAUGUGGUUUAAUUCGAAGCAACGCGAAGAACCUUACCAGGGCUUGACAUCCCGCUAUCCCUCCUAGAGAUAGGAGCUCUCUUCGGAGCAGCGGUGACAGGUGGUGCAUGGUUGUCGUCAGCUCGUGUCGUGAGAUGUUGGGUUAAGUCCCGCAACGAGCGCAACCCUUGUCCGUAGUUGCCAGCAUUCAGUUGGGCACUCUACGGAGACUGCCGUCGACAAGACGGAGGAAGGUGGGGAUGACGUCAAAUCAUCAUGCCCCUUAUGUCCUGGGCUACACACGUGCUACAAUGGAUGGAACAACGGGCAGCCAACUCGCGAGAGUGCGCCAAUCCCUUAAAACCCAUUCUCAGUUCGGU